rnacentral:rRNA from 1 species
UGCCAGUGAUAAACUGGAGGAAGGUGGGGAUGACGUCAAGUCAUCAUGGCCCUUACGACCAGGGCUACACACGUGCUACAAUGGCAUAUACAAAGAGAAGCGACCUCGCGAGAGCAAGCGGACCUCAUAAAGUAUGUCGUAGUCCGGAUUGGAGUCUGCAACUCGACUCCAUGAAGUCGGAAUCGCUAGUAAUCGUAGAUCAGAAUGCUACGGUGAAUACGUUCCCGGGCCUUGUACACACCGCCCGUCACACCAUGGGAGUGGGUUGCAAAAGAAGUAGGUAGCUUAACCUUCGGGAGGGCGCUUACCACUUUGUGAUUCAUGACUGGGGUGAAGUCGUAACAAGGUAACCGUAGGGGAACCUGCGGUUGGAUCACCUCCU